ensembl:lncRNA
AUGGAAGAUGAUAAAGGUUCAGCAACAGUGGAAAAGCGACAGGUGAAGCCUACAGCUAAGGCGAUGGAGGAUGCAUUACAAAGGAAAAUAGGCUCAAGAAAGGCUAAGUUGGGUCAGCUAACAGAGAAAAAUAAUGAGAUGCUGCAGUUAAUGGAGGAUGAUGGCAAUGUGGAAAUAGUUAAAACCAAGUUGGCUACAGAAUUUAAUCACAUCUUUGGAGAGUUUUGUGAACUGAAUACAACUGUAAAGGGGCUAUUUCAGCAAGCUGUGUCAAGGGAGGACAUGGAUAAUGAUCAGCAGCAUUGGUUUGAGCCCAAAGCAGAUGCAAUGAGAAGCUUUGUUGACAGUGUGGAUGCUUGGAUAAAGGAAGUCCAUCAACGUACAAAGGAAGCAAAAAUGGUUGAUGAGAGUGUUCAGCCCACUGACAGCAUAUCAGUAGCAGCAUCUAGGAAGUCUAGAAUGUCCAAAAGCAGCACUGGUCAAUCUUCAGCAUCUUCAGCUCGCUUGAAGGCGGAAUUGGAGAAGGCUGCACUCUUGGCACAGGCAGCAGCUUUAAAGGAACGGCGAGCUUUGGAGGAGCAAGAAGCUAAACUUAAGGCUGAGAAGGAAGAGCUUGAAUUGCGAACUGCUUUAGCAGCAGCUGAUGCUAAGCUUAAGAUUUUGCAGAGGUUUGAGGGCUCAGAUGUGUCACAUAGAGAUGACAAAGUAUCUUCCAUCCAGAUGCAGCCAGCUGUGGUACAGACUGAUCAUCCCAGAGCAACUACUGAGGAUUGUGGUGGUGAGCAAAACAGGAUGCCCAUCAUCCAGCCUCAAUCAGCUAACUCUGUACAGGUAAAUCAGCCAGCUAUCACAAAGAACAGCCACUGUUCUUCAGGCAACAGUUCUUCUCACUCAGCGGGCGUAGAAGCUUCACAGACGUUGUUAGCUGUUAUGGAACGACAGAAUGACAUUGCAGAAGUCCUUGCAACGCAACAAAGACUUUCUACUCUACCUCCUCAGAACAUUUCCAUCUUCAGUGGGGAUCCAUUGGAAUAUAGACUGUUUAUCAGAGCCUUUGAGCAUGGAGUAGAGUGUAAAACAGAAAGCAGAAAGGAUCGUCUUUACUUCUUGGAGCAAUACACUUCUGGACAGCCCAGGGAGCUAAUACGGAGUUGUCUGCAUAUGGAUCCAGAAAAAGGCUACUGUGAAGCAAAAAGGCUUCUGAAAGAGCACUUUGGCAACGAAUACAGGAUUUCUGUGGCAUACAUAAAUAAGGCUCUAGGCUGGCCUCCAAUAAAGACAGAAGAUGGUGAAGCCCUCAGCGCAUUGGCACUAUUCCUCACCAGUUGUGGCAAUGCAAUGUCAGACAUGGAGUACAUGGAGGAGUUGGAUAAUGUUGCCAACAUGCGUGCCAUUGUGAAUAAGCUACCGUACAAACUCAGGGGAAGGUGGAGGAGUGUUGCCUUUGAAAUAGAGGAGACAGAAGCUCGGCAGCCUAAGUUUAUGGACCUUGUCAAGUUUAUUAACACGCAGGCUAAGGUAGCAUUACACCCAGUGUUUGGAGAUAUAAAAGACAGCAAUAAGGCACCAACCAAGUCUCCACCAAAUGUCACUUUAGGGAGGAAGAGUGGCAAGACCAUUUUUACAACAACAGCCACACCUGUAAACCACUCAGGCAGCAUCGAUGCAGAGGCAAAGGGAGGCAAAAAGGGACUCACUAAUCCUACCUCCGCAUUCAACAAGCCAUGUUUGUUUUGCCACAGUGAACAUACCAUGGCACAAUGCAAGAGACUGAGGAAAUCUCUACACAAAGAGAAACUAGACUUUCUUCGAGAGAAGGGACUUUGCUUCAGCUGCUUAAAGCAGGGCCAUAUGAGUAGGUCUUGUGAGGAGAAAUUGAACUGUGAGCUCUGUUCAUUGACUCAUCCAACUGUGUCGCACAUCAGGAGCAAGGAUAAGCCUGCACCAAAGGAGGAGUCACCAGAACAUGAUGAGAAGCAGUCUGUGAGCAGUGGGUUUGUAGAGACAGCUAAUACACUAUGUUCUGGUACUGGGGCCGGAGACGCAGAUAGCAUCCUUGCUAUUGUUCCAGUCCAAGUUAAGGCAAAGAAAGGCGACAAGGCAGCUAUCACAUAUGCUUUCUUGGACCCAGGCAGCACUGCAACAUUUUGUACCGAAAAGCUAAUGAAUGAGCUCAAUCUCAGUGGAAAGAAAAUGGACAUACUGUUGACAACCAUGGUGCAACAGAAAACGGUCAGCAGCCAUCUUGUUACAGGCCUAGAGGUUAGCAGCCUAGAAAAAUGCAACUUCAUUGAGCUGCAGGAAGUGUUUUCUCAGAAGGCAAUCCCAGCUGAUAAAAGGAACAUUCCACUGCAGGCAGACGUGGACAAAUGGCCUUAUCUAAAGCGGGUGCGAAUACCCUACAUCAAUGCAGAAAUAGGUCUGCUAAUCGGAACUAAUGUACCAAGGGCUAUGGAGCCAGAGGAAGUCAUUCACAGCAUAGACGACGGACCCUAUGCAGUAAAAACAAGCCUUGGCUGGACAGUGAAUGGACCGCUGCGGGAUGGCAAUCGCAGAGCUGCAAGGAGCAGAAUAGUAACUAUCAGAUCAAAUCGAAUAUCCGUAGCCAAACUGGAUGACCUGUGGAAACAGCAGCUCAGAUAUGACUUUCCUGAAUGCAAUCAGGAAGAGCAAUUGGAGAUGUCUAGGGAAGAUCUCCAAUUCAUGGACAGUGUAACACUUUCUGCCAGACUGGUUAACGGACAUUACUGCAUCGGUCUACCUCUUAAGAACAAAGAGAUUCGAAUGCCCAACAACCGAGUGCUAGCAGAACAGCGUGCAUUGAAUUUGAAGAAGAGGCUUCUAAAAAACCCCACAUUUUGCGAGGACUAUAGUGCCUUCAUGAAGGAUCUGAUCUCCAAGGGCUAUGCCGCGAAGGUUCCUGACAAAGACCUCGAGCGCAGUGAUGGAAAGGUUUGGUACAUUCCACACCAUGGAGUGUACCAUCCCAAAAAGCACAAAAUGCGGGUUGUAUUCGACUGUGGAGCUGCCUACCAGGGGUUCACGUUGAAUGGGCAACUUCUUCAAGGGCCAAACCUUACCAGUACUCUGAUUGGAGUUCUCACAAGAUUUCGCCAAGAACCUGUAGCUGUCAUGGCCGAUGUGGAAGCCAUGUUCCACCAGGUAAAGGUUCCACCAGAAGACACAGACCUCUUAAGGUUCUUAUGGUGGCCAAAUGGUGACCUUAACCAAGCUCUGGUGGCAUACAAGAUGGUUGUGCACCUAUUUGGCGCAACGUCAUCACCAAGCUGUGCCAGCUAUGCUCUGAGACGGUGUGCUGAGGACAACAGGGACCAGUUUGACAGUACAGCUAUUGAAACUACACUGCAGAACUUUUACGUGGACGACUGCCUGAAGUCAGUUGGCUCUGAGGAUGAAGCUGUGUUGCUUUUCCACAAUCUGAAAGCAGCCUGUCAAACGGGAGGAUUCAGGUUGACGAAAUGGAUAAGCAACAGCCGUGUGGUGCUGGCAUCCAUUCCUGACACUGAAAGGGCAAAGGAAGUUAAAGAUCUGGACUUGGAUCAGGAUGUACUGCCCAUAGAGAGAGCACUGGGAGUACAGUGGUGUGUCCAGUCGGAUAGCUUCAAAUUCCGAAUUGCCAUUCAAGAGAAAAAGCCCACAAGGAGGAGCAUUCUUUCUACUGCAAGUUCCAUCUAUGACCCACUGGGCAUCUUGGCGCCAGUGGUUCUGCCGGCUAAAAGGAUUUUGCAAGAGUGUUGUAGGCUAAAAAUUGGCUGGGAUAGCGUCAUGCCAGAACAUCUUGCUCAGCAAUGGAAUGAAUGGCUUAACGAUUUGGAGUUACUCCAGGGGUUUGAAGUUAAGCGAUCUUUCAAGCCAGCACAUUUUGGAGGCACUUCAUUUGCUCAGCUUCAUCAUUUCUGUGAUGCUAGUGAGGAGGCUUAUGGUACUGUAACCUAUCUAGUACAGAAAAGCUGGAAUGGUCAAGUCCAUUGUUCCUUUGUUAUAGGGAAGGCAAGAGUUGCACCACUCAAACACACCUCCAUUCCACGUCUGGAAUUAACAGCAGCAACUAUGGCAGGACGAAUGGACAGGAUGUUAAGGAAAGAGCUACAAAUACAGCUCGCAGAGUCGGUGUUUUGGACUGAUAGUACAGCGGUGCUAAAGUACAUAAACAAUGAGACAACAAGGUUCCGCACCUUUGUCGCCAACCGAGUCUCUCAAAUCCUAAAAGUGUCCGUGGCUUCUCAAUGGCGACAUAUCAACUCACAUCUCAAUCCGGCUGAUUGUGUCUCAAGAGGACAGAACGUAGGCCUUUUCCUACAGAACCAUGUCUGGAUUUCUGGACCAGACUUUCUCGCGGCACCAAACACCAGUUGGCCAAAGAAUCUUGAUCAUCUAGAAGCUCUUAACCCAGCAGACCCGGAGAUCAAAAAAGAUGUGUCCAUCAGCACCUUCGCAUUAAAUAAAGGAACGGAUGUACUGCAGCAGUUGAUAGAACACUACUCCUCAUGGAUACGCCUUAAGAAAGCUGUGGCAUGGAUCCUUAAGGCAAAGAACAUCUUGCUGGUUCGAGCCAAAGAACGGCUAGAACAGACUGCUGACACUGCACAAGACAUCAGUAAAGCACAGAGAGAGCAAAGUCGAAACCUGACAAACAUCAGGUUAAGCCACCGCAAAGAAAACCUCACAGUGGAUGACUUAAAAGAAGCUGAACUUGAGAUUAUAAGCCACUGCCAAAGACAAAAAUUUCAAGAAGAAAUCACUGCCCUACAAAAGGGUGAGCCUGUUAAAAGGAGCAGCCACAUAUACAAGCUCAAUCCGCUUCUCCAGGAUGGGAUCUUGAGAGUUGGGGGAAGGCUCAGUCGCUCAUCCUUGCCAGAAGAGUUCAAACACCCCGUCAUUCUGGACAAGAGCUUAAGGGUGUCUGAGCUCAUUCUACAAGAAAUACACAGGGAGGUGGGUCAUAGCGGACGCAACCAUGUCCUGUCCAAGCUACGGCAAAGGUUCUGGAUUCCCGGAGCAAACAGCGCUAUCAGGAAAGUUCUUUCCAAAUGCACUGUGUGUCGACGACUGCAUGGCAUCGUCGGGCAACAACAGAUGGCUGACUUGCCACAAAACAGAGUUACACCUGACGAACCGCCAUUCACGAGGACAGGAGUAGACUAUUUUGGGCCCUUUGAGGUCAAACGUGGAAGAAGCACUGUGAAGAGAUAUGGUGUAAUCUUCACCUGUUUGGCCAUUCGAGCUGUACACUUGGAGGUAGCAGCAUCUUUGGAUACAGACUCUUUCAUCAAUGCUCUUCGCAGAUUUAUCGCAAGAAGAGGACAAGUGGUAGAGCUGCGCUCAGAUAACGGGACCAAUUUUGUCGGUGCAGAACGAGAGCUUACGAAGGCUAUUCAAGAGUGGAACACCUGCAAAAUAGAAAGCACAUUGACGCAAAAGGGCAUUAAGUGGAUCUUUAACACUCCAGCUGCUUCUCACCAUGGAGGGGUAUGGGAACGUUUGAUUAAAUCGGUCAGAACAAUCCUUAGUGCCACCCUUAAAGCUCAGAAUCUGGAUGAGGAGAGCCUUCAGACAUUUCUUUGUGAAACCGAAGCAAUCCUCAACAGUCGGCCUAUUACUACGCCCUCCAACGACCCUAAUGACUUGGAAGCACUCACUCCAAAUCAUCUCCUGCUCUUGAAAGCAAAGCCAUCCUUUCCUCCAGGACUGUUCCAGAGGGAGGACAUCUAUGCCCGCCGAAGAUGGAAGCAAGUUCAAUAUAUGGCAGAUCUUUUCUGGAAGCGCUGGGUGAGAGAGUAUUUGCCUCAGCUUCAGACACGGCAGAAGUGGACACGGGUGUCUAGGAACUUUGUGCCUGGAGAUAUCGUUUUGCUCGUGGACGAGACCGCACCGAGAAACUCUUGGCUCAUUGGUAGAGUCACUCAAGCCAUGCCGGAUGAACAUGGACUUGUUCGCAGGGUUCGUGUGAAGACCAAGACCAGUGAACUGGAUAGACCGAUCACUAAGGUCUGUCUGUUCCUAGAAGCUGUAUGA